ensembl:rRNA 5S_rRNA 5S ribosomal RNA
GCUUACGGCCACACCACCCUGAGCGCGCCCGAUCUCGUCUGAUCUCGGAAGCUAAGCAGGGUCGGGCCUGGUUAGUACUUGAUGGGAGACCGCCUGGGAAUACCAGGUGCCGUAAGCU